UGUUAUCCACUGCAGGAGAGCAUAUCUUUAAUAUCGUUUGAGUGAUAAAUGUUCCGCUAUCCCAUUUCUACACUAAAUCAAAGUUAUUGGAGAGUUUGACAGAAGCCAAUUUGCUCAGUAGACACCAUAUUUCUGAAAAACCUUUUAAAGUGCAUUUUGAUUUCUACAAAAUAACAGGCAGUUGUGCGCAACAUGCUUAUCAAAUUCAACUAAACUUAGAUCAAAAGAUACCAACUGAACAAAUUUCAAAGUGAUGUCAACAGUGAGUCAAGGUACAAAACUGGGAAUACUGGCAAAGUUCAGCUGCAUUGAUUCUCCAGCUAUUCCACACAUCCCAACUAGUUUUC